AGUCUUCCGGGGGUGAAUCACAGGUUCCCUCAGUGGCUUCCCUGCGGGCGGCUGCCUUCCCACUUGCGACGCUGCAUUUCCGAAGGGCUGGGACAGAAGGAGCAGCAACGGUGACAACCAGCGGAGCGAUUCCAGUCUUUUACGACCCAUUUAGUUCUUGAAAUCAGCUUACCUGGUUUUUACGUGGGAAGGGUACAGUUUUUGUUUUAUAUGAAAUGGAGUGCGGAAUUUCAGGAACAUUUUGGAUAGUGGACAUAUGGAAGCUCCUGGGCCAAAGAUCAAACCCAAGACACAGCAGGGACAACCUGAAUCCUCUUUACUCCUGGGCCACCAGCAAGGUCAGCUACACUAUGUGAUCAACUAAUCCUGGUGUGUUUUGUUUUAGUGGUAGAGUUGAAAUAGCUUUUUUACUGAAAGUACUUCCAUACUACCAUCUUUUUUUUUUAAUACCAAAAAAUAUAAAGAAAAAAAUCAGAAAACUGAAGUUUAGCAACAAUCUUAAUGGAAAAUAAGAGUUACAAGUAGUUGUAAUGUUAAAAAAAUAAAAAUAAAAAAAUUGCAAAUUGCACAAUUAAGAGGUUAGCAGUUCAGCCUUCUAAUUAGUAGCCUGUUGGGUUCUUGUACAUAGCUGUUGCCUUAGGCUUCAUCAACAGGAGAUUAUAAUUAAGAUGCUUCCUGAAGUUUUUUUAAUAGAAUUAAGCCUAACUUUAGUUUGUUUUCUAAUAAUUGUACCAGUUUAAUUAGUGCUGGGAAUAAUGCUGACUUUCCUGACAAAUCUAUCAUGAUCUGUUUCCUGAUUACCUUCUUUAGCUUCAGGUCUUUCCACUCUUUGUAUUUUAGAUCCUACAGUAAUAACAAGAGUUAAUGUAUAUUGAGUAUUUGCUGUGUACCAGCUACUGAAUUCCGUGCAUAACAGCUUUUAAGCCUCCCUGAAAACCUGAGAUAGGAAUUAGCAGCUUUCAUUUUAUAGCUGAGGAAAUCAGGGCUUUGCAAAGGUAUGAUAAUUACCCCAAAUCAAGGAGCUGGUACUGUUGGAAGCAGGAUUUAUAUCUAGACAAUGCCAUUCCAAGAAUUCAUGCUCUUUAAAGGCUACAUCUGGUUUUCCAAUAAACUAUGCUUUUUCUCUCUGCUCAGAAUGCCUUUCUCAUAGUUAUCCUAGAAAACUUUUAAGAAAUAACUCAGUUUAAAUGUGACUUCAAAUGUCUUCCCUAUUCCCCUUCCUAACAAACAUACUAUCUGUUCCAGCAACUUUGCUGCCACUUAACUAGCACGUGAAUUAUUGCACUGUCCGUAUACAUCGUUAUUUACCUGUCUCUCCCCUACUCGACUAUGAGGACCUUGAGGGGAAGAACUGUCUCCUACUCUCUAGUCUCUCAAUUCUCACUUUCCUACCCUGUGCCCUUCUUAUGAUCACAAAUGUUUGUGGAAUUAAAUUUAAGUAACAUUCAACACAUAUGCUAUUACUACUUUACUCUCUUUUGUUUCCUGGCUUCCUAAAAUCUUUUCAUCUCUCUCCCGCACUUCAAAGUUAAACUUCUCAAAGGUUGUCUAUAUUCUCCUUACCUCCAAGGCACUCCUAAAACUAUUCUAUCUGGCUUUAGCUACCACCACAAAACGGCUUUCACUAAGGCCAUUUAUAAACUUUGAUUGCUAAAUCCAGUGGACAGUUUGCGUUUUACAUAACUCUGAAUAGCAUUUGACAACUGAUCUUACUCUUCUUGAAAAACUCUUGCAAGCUUCUCUUACUUAUUCUGCUAUAUAUGUCUUCUCAGCCUACUCUCUGCCUUUAACAAAUAAUGUGUUUUUCUGCAGGUUCCAUUCUUGGUCCUCUUAACUGUACUCUCUCCCUCAGUGAUCUCAUUCAUGUUCAUAAUUUUCAUUUUUAUCUCUUUAGCUAAGGAUUAUCACAUGUUUAUGGGGGUUUUUUUGUUUUUAUUUUUGUCUUUUCUAGGGAUGCACCUGAGGCAUAUGGAGGUUCCCAGGCUAGGGGUCUAAUCGGAGCUGUAGCCACUGGCCUACUCCAGAGCCACAGCAGCAUGGGAUCUGAGCCGCGUCUGUGACCUACACCACAGCUCACGGCAAUGCCGGAUCCUUAACACACUGAGCAAGGCCAGGGAUCGAACCCACAAACUCAUGGUUCCUAGUCGAUUCAUUAAGCACUGUGCCACAACGGGAACUCCUCACAUGUUUGUGUUUAACCCACAACUUUCUUCUGGGGUCUGGAUCCAUAUAUGCAACUGCCUAGUUUUUAUUUCCAUUUAGAAUUUCAGAUUGACUUUAAAGUCAACAUAUCCAAAGCGGAAUUUUUCUUUACCUCUCCCACAACAACAGCAACAAUAACAAAAUAAAAAUCCAGGUCCUCCUCCACUGUGUUCCCCAUCUCAAACAGUAACAUCACCAGCUACUUAGUCAAGGGCUCAAGCCAGAAACUCACUGGUGUAAGUUUGAGGGAAGAUACAAAUGACAACUUGAACUUGGUUCAGUUACUUUUGCAUUGAUUUACUUCUAAAGCAGCAAAUCAGCUGAGUAAAGGAUUAAAAAUGAGCCAAAUAGGGAGCAUCUUCCCAUCGGUCCCCUUGCAUCAUAUAAAAGCAUGCCUAAUGGACCGUGGGCAUCCUCACCACAUUGAGUAAGACUUUCUCCAGAUUGUUAGACUAUUGAAGUGGAACACAUUGCUUUGUAUCAGCACCAUCAAUGUAUUCAGUGAGCUCUGUCACAUGGGUGUAAUGGGCAGGUAUGUAGGCCUUGACUUUCUUAUUGUGCCAGCACCAGAACAAGCUCCCUUUAUCAGUGUCUAUAUUGCAAAGCCUAAAGGUUUUCCAUUUAUAUCUACUUAAGGCCUUUGUGAAAACUCUAGCCACAACUAACAAUUAUCUUGACUCUUCCUCUUCCUUACCCUUGACACCCAAUUAAUCACAAAGUCCUGUGGUUUAUAAUUCCUAAAGAUCUCUCGAAUCCAUUUACUUUUCUCCAUUAUUUAUCACCUAGAUGAGAAAGUAGCCCCACUUCCACUCUUGCUUUACUCCAAUCCACCCACUAUGAACCAGCCCAAGUGAUCUUUUUAAAUAGAAAAGAUAUUUGCAUCACUCUAUUUUAGGGGAACUUUUUGCUAAAGAUCAGAGGACUCGCCUUUAUUCUUGUCACACUCUUUAUAAGAAAGUAAAAAUGUUCAGAACUUAAAGAGGGCGUCCGUCAGAAGUGAGUUUUUAAAUUUUUUUUUUGCAUUUUCUUGGGCUGCUCCCGUGGCAUAUGGAGGUUCCCAGGCUAGGGGUCCAAUCGGAGCUGUAGCCACCAGCCUACGCCAGAGCCACAGCAACACGGGAUCCGAGCCACGUCUGCAACCUACACCACAGCUCACGGCAACGCCAGAUCCUUAACCCACUGAGCAAGGCCAGGGAUCGAACCCGAAACCUCAUGGUUCCUAGUCGGGUUUGUUAACCACUGCGCCACCAAGGGAACUCCAGGUGAGCCAUACCUUGUUUUUCGCCUCAAUGUUGACAUUGUGUGAAAGCAGCUUUGCUGCCAUGGAGGAAUUCUGAUCAAGGGCGGCAUAGUGGAAGGCAGUGUUGCCACUGACGUCCACGACAUUUGGGUCAGCCCCAUCUUCCAGAAGAAUAUUUGCACAUUCUUCUUCCUGGCACUGGGUGGCCUGUCAGUACUAUGCCAAGAAAUAGAUGAUAAAUUCAAAGGAACCAUGCCACAAGUUUCACCAAUUCCUUAGAUUUCAAUGAGAUAGACUCUUUUGUUUGUUUGUUUGUUUUUGUAUUUGCUAUUUCUUUGGGCCACUCCCGUGGCAUAUGGAGAUUCCCAGGCUAAGGGUCGAAUCGGAGCUGUAGCCGCCGGACUACGCCAGAGCCACAGCAACUCAGGAUCCGAGCCACGUCUGCAACCUACACCGCAGCUCAUGGCAACACCAGAUCGUUAACCCACUGAGCAGGGGCAGGGAUCGAACCCACAACCUCAUGGUUCCUAGUCGGAUUCAUUAACCACUGCGCCACGACGGGAACUCCUUUAAUUUAUAACAUUUACAACAAUGGUAUAAAGUCCUCGUUGUGGAGUUCCCUUGUGGUGCAGUGGGUUAAGGAUCUGGCAUGGUACUGCAUCAGCCCAGAUCACUGCUAUGGUGUGGGUUCAACCCCUGCCCAGGAACUUCAGCAUGCCACAGGUACACCCAAAGGGGAAAAAAAAAAAAAAAAAAAAACUUUCAUUCCCUUUGGAGAAUGCUAGGAAACCAACACAUUAUUCUGAAAACAGAAACUAUUAAGAGAAUAAAUGAAGCAUUUAUCUUGCCUUUCCUAGAAGAACUGCACCUCAGGAUAGCCUGAGGGAAUAAUUUAUAAAGGAAAAUUUCUCUAUAUAGAAGUAUUCCAGUUCAUAAAUGAAGAAAUAUUAAAAUUUAAAUAUCACCAACCUGCAAUCUCAAAUGAAAUCCAGAAUUUAUGCAAUGUUGAUCAGUGCCUGCAAACAUGACAAAAGGAGAGACAAUUAGGCAUCUGUGUCUCCUGAUUUUAUAUUGUAGGAUGUGCAUAACCCCCGUGAAGUAUCCCUGCCAAAAGAAAUGAUCCCGAAUCUGAUGAAAUACCUAUACCUAACCAUCAGUAUUACAGGAGACAAAGGAACAUGUUGGAGUUCCCAUUGUGACUCAACAGAUUAAGAACACGACUAGCAUCCAUGCGGAUACAGGUCUGAUCCCUGAUCUCACUGAGUGGGUUAAGGAUCUGGCAUUGCCAUGAGUUGUGAUGUAAGUGUAGGCUGCAGACAUGGCUCAGAUCCUGCGUUGCUGUGGCUGUGAUGUAGGACAGUAGCUGCAGCUCUGAUUCAAUCCCUAGCCAGCGAACUUCCAUAUGCUGUAGGUGCAGCCU
ensembl:lncRNA